ACUUAGGUAGUUUAAAUUAAGAUAUCGAUUUGUGGUGUCGAGGAUGUAUAGUAGGAUUUACCUUAGGUU
rnacentral:tRNA from 1 species